rnacentral:snRNA from 1 species
AUUCAUAUCUUGCAGGGGAAAUACCAUUUCAUAAGUGUGGUUUUCCCAGGGGGAGGCUCAUCCAUUGCACUUGGGGUAUGCUGUUAAUCCCUGUGAUUUUCCAAAUGUGGGAAGCUUCACUGCAUAAUUUAUGUUAAUUGGAGAUUGUACUUCUGA